rnacentral:rRNA from 1 species
GACGAACGCUGGCGGCGUGCUUAACACAUGCAAGUCGAACGAUGAAGCCGGAGCUUGCUCUGGUGAAUUAGUGGCGAACGGGUGAGUAACACGUGAGUAACCUGCCCUUGACUCUGGGAUAACUGCUAGAAAUGGUAGCUAAUACCGGAUACGACCCUCGGCGGCAUCGCCAGGGGGUGGAAAGAAUUUCGGUCAAGGAUGGACUCGCGGCCUAUCAGCUAGUUGGUGAGGUAACGGCUCACCAAGGCGACGACGGGUAGCCGGCCUGAGAGGGUGACCGGCCCCACUGGGACUGAGACACGGCCCAGACUCCUACGGGAGGCAGCAGUGGGGAAUAUUGCACAAUGGGCGCAAGCCUGAUGCAGCAACGCCGCGUGAGGGAUGACGGCCUUCGGGUUGUAAACCUCUUUUAGUAGGGAAGAAGCGAAAGUGACGGUACCUGCCGAAAAAGCACCGGCUAACUACGUGCCAGCCGCCGCCGUAA